GNAUGGUGCAAGCGNNAUCCGGACNUACUGGGUGUAAAGGGAGCGUAGACGGCNGUGUAAGNCUGAAGUGAAAGCCCGGGGCUCAACCCCGGGACUGCNUUGGAAACNANGCAGCNAGAGUGUCGGAGAGGNAAGNGGAAUCCCUAGUGUAGCGGUGAAAUGCGUAGAUAUUAGGAGGAACACCAGUGGCGAAGGCGGCUUUCUGGACGAUGACUGACGUUGAGGCUCGAAAGCGUGGGGAGCAAACAGGAUUAGAUACCCUGGUAGUCCACGCCGUAAACGAUGAUUACUAGGUGUUGGAGGAUUGACCCCUUCAGUGCCGCAGUUAACACAAUAAGUAAUCCACCUGGGGAGU
rnacentral:rRNA from 1 species